rnacentral:rRNA from 1 species
UCCCAGCGGUCCAAGUCGCAACCACGUUUAUUGGGUCUAAAACAUCCGUAGCUUGCCGUAUAAGUCGUAUGUAAAAUCGGGCAUCUUAAGUGUCCGGCGGGCACACGAUACUGUUCGGCUAGAGACCGGGAGACGUAAGAAGUACGUACAGGGUAGCGGUAAAAUGCGUUGAUCCUGUGUGGACUAACGAUAGCGAAGGCAUCUUACGAGAACGGAUCUGACAGUGAGGGAUGAAGGCUAGGGGCGCAAAGUG